UCCUCUUGUAAGACUUAAGAAAAAUCAAGCAUCUGUUCUGAUCCGUUGGGUUGAAUGAAAGCUAGGUAGAACUCAAGAGCCUAACAUAACAGGGGAUUUUGAAGAGGCAAGGAGGGUUUGUGGGCAGAGGUGGAGAGUCUGGGGCCUUGGAUAAUCUAUAGCCAUCCCCCGAGGCAAGUGCUGUGCAGCCCUCUCCCAGGAGGUGGCUCUGUCACUGGGGGUCAUGGGUGGCCUAGAGGAUCAGCUGCCUCCACACCCCUGCCCUCACACAUGGCAGUUGCUCCAAAGCUGAAAUCAUCUGAGGCCCCGAGUGUCUGUAACAUGUCGAGCUUCCCUUAUGGAGCCUGGGCUUGUGCCCCAGGAGGCAAAUCUCAGCUCAGGAGCCAGGAUAUUAGUGCAAAGCUGUGCCCCCUUCUGCAAGCUACUAUUUUCCUUUUGAGAAAUGGCUCAGGCCUUUCAUGAGCUGGUGGGCCCCGGGGGAGACUGAAAGCCUGACGUGAGGCACCUGGGGACCAUGUGAUGCGAGCUGAAUGCUAUCUGACCUUGCUACAAAGUCAGGUGUGCCCAGCAGCAUCUGUCGUCAAGGAGAGAAGGCACUCGUGGGAGAGGGAUGGGCCCAAACACGUCCUGAAGCCCAGGCGAGCUGCUGAGCAGGCAGCUCAUUCCCCAGAGUCCCUUCUCGGCUUCUAGCUGCCCCUCCCUCCACCCACACCUCAGACUCAGGUCCCUGGGACCAGUUGCACAAUGAUUGAAAACUGUGCCAUGCAAAGAGCUCGGGGGACACUCACAGCAACACUCGUGGACACUGGAACUCACAGGCAGAGUUCCAGCAGGCCCCAGGGCCCUGACAGAGGCUGGAGGCACCAUGGGGCAGAGGGACCCUGGUCUCCGCCAUGUUCUCCCUUUUCAUAGGCGAGUAUGAGAAUGACCUUGGGGGUGGUGCAGUGAGGCGAAGGAAUGCUAAGCAGUCUAAACUUGAACGUCAGCUGUUUGGGAAAGUGCUGGCCUGCAGCCUUGGCCCCUGUGCCUCCACCUCACCCUCAUCCCGUGGGAGGUUGAGUUCAGGCACAGCCUCUCCUUCAGGGACAGAGAGCCAUCGGUCUGGCUUGCUAGUUGCCAGGCAACCCAGGAUGAGCCUUCGAGGUCAUUUCUCAGACGAUUCUGAGCUCUCCCCACAGCCUGUUAACAGAUGGUCUCACAAGCAGCCAGCCCCAGCCAGAAAUCGAUUGCUGCGGCCGUGCUGCCUGUCGCCAGCAGCCACAGUGACGAGAAACCUUUCCAGGGCUUCCAGCACUACAUUUUGUUGUUCACUUUGCGUGCAAGGAGAGGCAGCCUGAGGUCAGGCUUUAUGUCAGCUCUGGGCAGCGGCUGGUGGUCUCACCAGGCGGGCAGGGGCUUGGAAGGGGGCAGACUGGAGGAUUGGUGACAACGAAGUGCUGUGUGAUGGGACUCUCAGCAUGUGUCCAGAUUGCGAGAGAAUGCUUGUGAUUGUCCGCCAAAGGGCACCCCUUGAAAGGAGGCUCGUAACAAUCAGGGGACACCUGUGGAUGUCAUCAUCUUCCCUUCUCUGUUUUUAGGACCUAGACAAAAUUCAAGAAGAUAUCUCCGCUUCGGUGGGGUAUUACUUUUGACACUUCUAAUUGCAAUGAGACUUACAUUUUAGGAGAAGAGAUACAGACCAUUCAUGGGCUUCUCCCUGUCCCAUCAUCCUGAUCUAAGAUAAUGCCAAGCAACAUUCCGCGUUAUUCCCUGGGGACAGAAUCGGUCAUAAGUAGGUCGACUCCUACUCAUUUGAGGUAGCACCUGAGGUGAAAACCCAGCAUUCUUGCUUUAUUUGAAGCAUAAAAAGCUUCAACUUUUUAAUAGAAAUGUUAAACAGCAAGCCAGCACUUUUUUUUCCAGGACAAGGACAAAUUCCCGUAAGAAUUUUGCAAACAUCACAUGUUCUCUUUCUCCUUGUUGCAAUAUGUAUAAUUUAUCUUCUGGUAUAACUUGCUUAAUAGUCACAGUUUGUUAAUUCCAUCUGCUUCCCAAGAGGAGGACAAAUUGUUACAUGGCAAUGCCUUGGGUUCCGAGAGUCCGCCAUAAGCCACAGCUGGUCAAGAACCUAACCAAGGGAGGGGCAGCAGUUUGUCCGCCUGCAAUAGAUCCUUAUUGUGAAGUUGAAUUUGCUUUCUCAUCCUCUGUCUGCCUCCCUCUGCACCUCCAUUCAUAAACUGACUGAAUGACGCAGUCGAACACAGCAUUGCCUCCCACCGAGAAGCUCAUGUUUCUGUGAAGACUGAAGACAUACACCAAUAGGCCAGUGCCCAUGGGAUUUACCUGUCUUUCCUUGUACCCAUCGCCCAGGACUAGGUGGCCUUAAAGCAUGGUGGAAUGCCCUAUUGCAGGCCCAGUUACGGUGUGAGCUGAGAGACACCACCUCGUGAGACCCACUGGUCUGCAGAUUAUGGAGUAUGCUCUGAACCAGUAACAACCUGUGAUGCUAGUUCUCCUGGAGUCAAAUAUGUGGGUGUGGGAGCCAGCGCCGGGAUGUUGGAGUGGUACAUACUUAGUACUCAGGGGAGAACUGGGUCUUGCAAGAGAUGCUAAAAUGACUCCUCUGAAGUGGAAGCCGAGACUGUCACUGGCCACUGAGAAAACAGUUAAUAAGCCCCCAUACUUUCCACCCUGGACUGAGAGAUUCCUGCUCCUGGGUUCAACUCUUGCUGUCCUCCUUCCUGAAGUCCCCCUCGCGUACACCCUGGGGGCUAAGCAGGUGGGUUUCAACUCUCCACAAGUGUCCCCUCCCACCCCCAUCCUUUCCCUGAGCACAGAGUGCAGCAUAUAGUGAGACCUCAAAAAGUGUUCCUUAAUGGAAAAUUGCUCUCCUGGCUCUCACGUUAUCCUUAUACUGAGCUUAUGACAUGGGCAGAAAUUAGGAAACACACACACACACACACUGGUGCAUGCACACCCACACAUGUGCUCUGGGCCUAUUUGCUGAAUUGCAUGGGGGCAGCUAAGCCUUAGUUUCCUUACCUGUAAAACGGGCACCAUGUCAGAUUGUCUCCAUGUGCUAGUACAGGCCCACCCUUCACCUUUCUUCAUUCUGCACUUGUCAGCGGAGGCUGACCUUUCCCAAGGCUUCAGCUCUCACCAAGUUCCAGGACCUUCCCUUGCUCCCCAGGUGGUUAAGCUUCCUGCUGCUAGUCCCAGUGCUUCACUAGCCUCUCUCAGCUCCUUUACCUCUGCCCACCACUUUGUAAUAGUCCCUUCAUCAAUCCCUUUUCAAGCACCCCUUUGAGCAUGCCCUCUGUUUCCAUCCAGGGCCGUGACUGCUACAAUUGGUACCAGAAUAGCCCUGGGAAACAAAUCCUUGGAUGGGACCUGGGUUGGGUUUCUCACACAUCUUGAUUAGUGCGUGGAUAGCCUCCUUGAUGGGGGUAAUGGACAGUGGUAAUCUGUGGCAUGCAGUGGCAUCACAGUUACUUUGUGACAGGUGGUGGCAAGAGAUGGACUGGUAAGAUGCUGGGAGAUCAAGUAGCUAUGACACUUAGUCACUAUGGUGACAGUAGUGAUUAUAGACUGCAGUGGCCUUCUGACUCUACAAGUGAUUGCCCUAGGAAAUACACACAAAGAAAAAAAUGGAUUAAAAGCCUUAAGCUGGGCUAUACUGGGAUAUAAUUCUCAGUAUGGGCCUGGAGGCAAUGAGAGGUGAUGAGGGUAUGUCCUGAGGAAAAUCAGCUUUCCUGUGAGGCAGCUGCCCCAAGAGAGAUCACUUGAAUGGUUGAGAGAUCAACUUGAAUGGUUUUUAUGUGAGGAAAGGCUAGUUUCCUCAGACAAAGCAGGGGGGUUGCUGCCUUCACCAACAAGGAGGAUUCAAGGGGUGUUGGGGUUCAAAGUUCUACCCAAAUGUCCCCAUUCCAUGUCUGGGGGUCCCAUUCCUUCUUACCCAGUGCUGCUCCCUUAGCACAAGAUACUUGGUGGAGUUGCACAUUUCAUUGGCUUUGCAACCCUGGAAACCUGACAGUCAGCGCCUGGGCUUGGUUCUCUGGUAGCCCUUUGGCUACCAAAGAGCAGAUUCCUUCAGAGCCACCCUAGAGGCUUUCUAAACUUCCACCCUUGCACUGAGUCAUGAGUUCAAGGCUUUCAGUCUUUUCUGACCCAGAGCGGAUCCAACAGAACCACAGACCCAUCCUGUGUCUGUACAUGAACUGGCAGAAUCCCCCUGCUGAUUUCCUGACUCAUGGAGUGAGCUCUUAUCAGAGAAGGGCCCUGAACUGCAACUUCACCACCGUCAGAAUAGCAAACCAAAUGCAAUACUACAUCCCUAAGGAAAUUUCAGAAAUUAGUGCUACCAUCAAAAAUCUGAAACAUGUAGAGGUUGUCAUUCCUAUCAAGACUCGGUUUAACUCACCUAUUUGGCUGCUACAGAAACCAGUUGGGUCUUGGGAAAUGACUAUAGAUUACUGUAAAGUUAAUUAGGUGUGAUGUCAAUUGCAGCUGUGGUUCUAGACAUGAAAUUUUUACUGGAACAAAUCCAUGCAUCUCUUGGUCUGGUGUAAAUCUUUGACCCCAAAUGCUUUCUUUUCUAUUCCACUCGGUACAGAUAAUCAGAAAUAGUUUGCCUUUGUGUAGCUGGGACAGUAGAUAUCUUUACUACCUUGAGGCUUUGCCUACUUUCCUGAUUUCUGUCAUAAUAGAGUGCAAAGGGAUACUGAUUAUCUUGUUAGAGUUCAUAACAUUAUGCUGGCCCAUUAUAUUGAUGACAUUCUGGUAAGUGGGCCUAAUGAGCAGGAAAUUGCAAGCACUUUAGAUUCUUGGUAGAACCUACGUAUGCCACAGGAAGGAUGAUAAAUCCCACACAAAUUCAGAGGCAUGUCAUGUCAGUGAGCUUUCUAGGGUAUCCAGUGGUCUGGGGCAUGUCAGGAUCUCUCUUCUAAAAUGAGAGACAAGCUGCUGCCCGCUACAAAGAAAGAGGCAAAAUGUUUGAUGGGACUCUGGAUUUUUGAGGUGACAUAUGCCACAUUUGCCAGUGCUGUUCUACCCAUUUCCUGGAAAACGCAUAAGACUGCAAGUUUUGAGUGAGGCCUGCAGCAACAUAAGACUCUGCAGUGGGUCCAGACUGCAGAGCAAGCUGCCCUGUCACAUGAGCUUUAUGAUUUGGAAGUGACUAGGGCAGAAAAAGAUGCUGUAUGGACAAGCUCCAAUAGGAGAGUCACAGUGCAGUUACAGACCCUUAGGGUUUUGGAUUAAUUCAUACUCUCUUCUGCCAAUAACUAUUCUCCAUUUAAAAACAGCUCCUGGCUCACAACUGAACAUGGAAGAGGCUGAAUGCCUGACUGUGGGACACCAAGUGACCCAUGCAACCAGAACUGGAUAUUAUCUGACCCAUCAAAUCAUAAAAUUGGACAUGCAUGGUAGCAUUCUAUUAUUAAAGAGUGUAUAUGAGAUCAGGUCUGAGCAGUCCAGAAGGCACAAGGAAAUUGCAUGAGCAGGUGGCUCAAAUUCCCAUGGUAUCUACUCUUUUUUUUUUUUUUUAAAGA